rnacentral:rRNA from 1 species
UACGGGGGGGGCAAGCGUUGUUCGGAAUUACUGGGCGUAAAGGGCUCGUAGGCGGCCAACUAAGUCAGACGUGAAAUCCCUCGGCUUAACCGGGGAACUGCAUCUGAUACUGGAUGGCUUGAGUUCGGGAGAGGGAUGCGGAAUUCCAGGUGUAGCGGUGAAAUGCGUAGAUAUCUGGAGGAACACCGGUGGCGAAGGCGGCUCACUGGCCCGGUACUGACGCUGAGGCGCGAAAGCGUGGGGAGCAAACAGG